AAUGCGAUAAGUAAUGUGAAUUGCAGAAUUCAGUGAAUCAUCGAAUCUUUGAACGCACCUUGCGCUCCUUGGUAUUCCGAGGAGCAUGCCUGUUUGAGUGUCAUC
rnacentral:rRNA from 1 species